rnacentral:rRNA from 1 species
ACUUGUACCGACUGGAUGAGCAGCGAACGGGUGAGUAACGCGUGGGGAAUCUGCCUUUGAGCGGGGGACAACAUUUGGAAACGAAUGCUAAUACCGCAUAAAAACUUUAAACACAAGUUUUAAGUUUGAAAGAUGCAAUUGCAUCACUCAAAGAUGAUCCCGCGUUGUAUUAGCUAGUUGGUGAGGUAAAGGCUCACCAAGGCGAUGAUACAUAGCCGACCUGAGAGGGUGAUCGGCCACAUUGGGACUGAGACACGGCCCAAACUCCUACGGGAGGCAGCAGUAGGGAAUCUUCGGCAAUGGACGAAAGUCUGACCGAGCAACGCCGCGUGAGUGAAGAAGGUUUUCGGAUCGUAAAACUCUGUUGGUAGAGAAGAACGUUGGUGAGAGUGGAAAGCUCAUCAAGUGACGGUAACUACCCAGAAAGGGACGGCUAACUACGUGCCAGCAGCCGCGGUAAUACGUAGGUCCCGAGCGUUGUCCGGAUUUAUUGGGCGUAAAGCGAGCGCAGGUGGUUUAUUAAGUCUGGUGUAAAAGGCAGUGGCUCAACCAUUGUAUGCAUUGGAAACUGGUAGACUUGAGUGCAGGAGAGGAGAGUGGAAUUCCAUGGGUGACGGGG